rnacentral:rRNA from 1 species
CCGCAAGGUUAAAACUCAAAUGAAUUGACGGGGGCCCGCACAAGCGGUGGAGCAUGUGGUUUAAUUCGAUGCAACGCGAAGAACCUUACCUGGUCUUGACAUCCACGGAAGUUUUCAGAGAUGAGAAUGUGCCUUCGGGAACCGUGAGACAGGUGCUGCAUGGCUGUCGUCAGCUCGUGUUGUGAAAUGUUGGGUUAAGUCCCGCAACGAGCGCAACCCUUAUCCUUUGUUGCCAGCGGUCCGGCCGGGAACUCAAAGGAGACUGCCAGUGAUAAACUGGAGGAAGGUGGGGAUGACGUCAAGUCAUCAUGGCCCUUACGACCAGGGCUACACACGUGCUACAAUGGCGCAUACAAAGAGAAGCGACCUCGCGAGAGCAAGCGGACCUCAUAAAGUGCGUCGUAGUCCGGAUUGGAGUCUGCAACUCGACUCCAUGAAGUCGGAAUCGCUAGUAAUCGUGGAUCAGAAUGCCAC